AGGAGGUAGUGGUGGAGGCCAGGGAUGCUAACUACCCUGCGAUGCACAUGAUACCUCUGCCUCCCCACAUGCCAACAGUGCUGAGGCAGAGAAGCUCUGCCUUAGCCCCACCCAGAACCUGGCACAACCGUAAAUAGUCCCUUUGGUGAUGUCUCUCCAAGUAAACAGUCUGGCAAUCCCUAGCUCCCCCACUCCUCAUCAGCUCUCUGGGCAAAAAGGUGGUAACAGGUGAAAAGUGGCCACUUGGGAUGAACAGAGCCCUUUCUGUCUGGAGGUGGAAAAAUUUUCCAGGUCUGAAGCCAUUUUCAUAUGGAACGAAUGAUUCCCCAAAGUACCUGCAGACCAAGCUCCCUCAGGCUGACACCCCCACAGACGCAGUCACAACCCUGGUGCAUGUAUUUUCCUCGUUGACCCGUCAUGAAACCAGAUCCUUGGUUUUCAUUUGAAAGAAAAGAUAUAUAUUUUUAAAAACCUGUAUUUUUAAUGUUAAAAAAGCUAUAAUUUAAAAAAUGUGGGCCCACCUCAAAUCACUGGGUAAAUAUAUGUAUAUUUCCCCCUAAUUUUAAAAAUGGAUACAGCCAACACGAAUAAAAACA